AACGAACGCUGGCGGCAUGCCUAACACAUGCAAGUCGAACGAGACCUUCGGGUCUAGUGGCGCACGGGUGCGUAACGCGUGGGAAUCUGCCCUUGGGUCCGGAAUAACUCAGAGAAAUUUGAGCUAAUACCGGAUGAUGACGUAAGUCCAAAGAUUUAUCGCCCAGGGAUGAGCCCGCGUAGGAUUAGCUAGUUGGUGAGGUAAAGGCUCACCAAGGCGACGAUCCUUAGCGGUCUGAGAGGAUGAUCAGCCACACUGGGACUGAGACACGGCCCAGACUCCUACGGGAGGCAGCAGUGGGGAAUAUUGGACAAUGGGCGAAAGCCUGAUCCAGCAAUGCCGCGUGAGUGAUGAAGGCCUUAGGGUUGUAAAGCUCUUUUACCCGGGAUGAUAAUGACAGUACCGGGAGAAUAAGCCCCGGCUAACUCCGUGCCAGCAG
rnacentral:rRNA from 1 species